rnacentral:rRNA from 1 species
GACGAACGCUGGCGGCGUGCCUAACACAUGCAAGUCGAGCGGUGAAGAUUGGCUUUUGCGCGAAUUUGGAGAGCAGCGAACGGGUGAGUCACGCGUGUGGACUCUGCCUUUGAGCGGGGGACCACCAUGGGAAUCGAAUUCUAAUACCGCAUAAGAACCUUAAACAUAGGUUUUAUGGGUGAAAGAUGCAAUUGCAGCACUCAAUGAUGAUCCCUCGGUGUGUUAGGUAGUUGGUGAGGUAAAGGCGCACGAAGGCGAGGAUACAUAGCCGGACGGAGAGGGUGGGUAGCCGCACUGGGACGGAGACACGGCCCAAACGCCUACGGGAAGGAGCAGUAGGGAAACGUCGGCAAUGGGCGGAAGUCUUACCGAACAACGCCGCGGGAGGGAAGAAGGUUGUCGGGUCGGAAAACUCUGUUGGUAGGGAAGAACGUGGGUGAGAGUGGAAAGCUCAUCGAGUGACGGUAACUACCCAAAAAGCAACGGCUAACUACGUG